ensembl:lncRNA
GGGAAGCUGGACAGCUCGUCGUUCCUGACCCUUGCUGUGCGGUCCCCCGUCUCCUGGGCUGGGCUCAGCCGCCCUCCUGCUCCUGGCCUGCCUCGCUCCUCUGCAGUCAUUUAGACACUACUGUCUCUCGCUCUGUCCUCCUCUCUCUAAUUACCUGGUAUUUAUUCCCAGAUGUGUCCGUCUCCCCGACUAGACUUGGGCUCUGAGUGGAGGGGACGGCCAGGCCUGCGCCCUCUCCGGGGCCACCCGUGCCCUGCCCGCAGCACACGCCCAUCGAACGCUCGUGGAGCCUCGUUCUGCAGAUGAGCAGACCCCAUCUGAGAAGCAAAGCGACUUCCAUCCCCAGGGCCGCAUUGAGCACCAACGGUAAUCAGCCUGGCACAAGGGACCCCUGGGGUGGGAGCUGUCGGAUAAAAGGGGGAGACACCUCUGUCCCUGCCCUCCGGGAGCAUCCAGUCCAGCCGGGGAAAGAGUGACCUGUGUCAGCACCCAGUGACUGGCCCUCAUUCGAGUGUCCAGUGCACAUGGGGUCUCCUGCCGCGUGCUGGAAAUGCAGGCAUUUGGGGACAACCGGUCCCGCGUGCUCAGGUCUGUGCUAAGCCACGUGUGGGACAGGAGGCAGGAAGGUAGGCAAUGAAGAGGCCUCCACCCCUGCCCUCGGGGAAGCCACCACGGGCCAGCGAGGGGACCGGAGCAUCCCGGGAGGAUGGGACCACCUGAGAGGAUGAGGAGGCGGCGGCAACGUGGACAGUGAGGGGCGAAGCAGCUCAGGGAAGUGAGAGAUCUGGGAAGACUUCUUGGAGGAGGCAAGUUGGGGCUGAGAUGUAGAGAACGAAAAGGAAGGGUCCCCUGGCUUGCCUCCCUUCCUGUCAUCAUUUUCCCAUGAAGGGCUGGUCUCCCCAGCCACCCUGAGAGCCCACAGCAUUCAGGAGACCCCACGGGGUGAGAUGGAAGGCCCAGAUCUAACUUCACGCUGAAGCCCCGAGUGACCUCAGGCUCCUCCGCCUCUCUGGGUCUCAGUUUCCCGUCUGGUCAGUAGGGGACCCAUGUCAUCUUUCAACCCUCAGCUCCGAGGCACCUUCGGGCGCCUCCAGGCCAAGCCAGUUGCUUCUGGCUCUGCUCUUCCAGAGGCUUCUCCUGGAACACCUGCUCUAGGAACGGAUGUGUCCUUGGGUCCAGCCGCCCUGGGCUACAGGCUCCCCAAGGUUGUGGGUCCAGGGCAUCCCCUGGGCCUGGCCCCACCUGGAGCCAGGGCUUCCGUCAUGCACGGAGGGUGAGGUGUGUGUGGGGAUGACCACGGGGCUGCCUCCGGGCCGCCGUGCACCCUGCUCUCUGGAGCUGGCUGGACAGGCCCGGGGACUCUGGGCCCCCAGCCCGGCCUGUCCUCAAGGACAGCAGAGGGCGGGCAGGGGAGUGAGGAGGCAGGCUGGCUACUAAUUAAAAAGCCAGUCGUGUACGGGUCCUGCUUCAUUCUCAAACAAACCGUCAAGGGUAUUAAUGACCAGAUCUGGCGAUAGACGCGGUUAGGCUUACUCAGGCCGGGCAGGGAUCCUGGCGGUCAGAAUGUCAACGAGCGCCUGGCCUCCGAGGCUCAGGGCGGGGCUGAGCAGGGGCUGGGCAGGCAAGGGGCACCUUGGGGAGACCUCCGGUAAUGAAAAUGAUACCCCACUCCCGCCAGUUACCCCCGACGCGGGGUCACGGAGUGCCAGGCAGGGGCCACGUGGCUGCUUUACAUGCCUUAUGUCGUCUCCCUCCCAACAGCCUCAGGAGAUUGGUCCUAUUUUUAUCCCCAUUUAGCAACCGAGGACAUUCGGGCACAGAGAGACUCUAUAACUUGACAGGGUCACACAGCUAGCAAGUGGCAGCGCCAGGACACCAGCCUGGGCUCUUAACCACAGGGACACAACGACCUAGAUGUGCUGGCUGGCAUCACUGAAGCAGUCCAUCAUCAUACAGGCAGGGAAACUGAGGCAGGAGAUGAUGUCGCCUGCCAAAGUCAUACCCACCUUGGUAGAAUGUAAACGGUGUCAUCUGAUGCUCAGCCCAGGAUUUUCUCCUUCUCACCAGCUAAGUGUGUGUGCCAGGGUCCCCACCAGGAAAGGAGAGCAUUCCGGGGCCCUGCUGGGCCAGGGUUUGGGGGCCUGCCUUCCUCCUCGCCUCCCACCCUUCUCCCUCUGCCGCCUCCCAGAACCCUCGGCAGCCCAGCUGGGCUGAAGCAGCCCCGUCCUCCUCCGUGUCAGCCCCGGCAGCAGUCCCAGCCCGGCACCAGUCCCGGCGGAAUUAAAAUAGGCCUGACCUAAAUACGAACACAAUGCCGGCGAGGAAGCACGGCUGUGUCAGCGGAAACUCCCACUGCGGAGGAGACAACGUGCUGGGGGAUCGACACCCCCACCCCGGGAAGAGGGUCAGGCUGCCCCAGGCCCAGGGCCAGUGAAAUCUGCAUGACAUGGACACCGACAAGUCCCUGAAGUGUCUCCAAGGGUGGCAAAGAGCUCUCUGAAGACCUGACUGAGCAGAGGCAGGGGGCGGCAGCCCACCAACCUGACAUCAGGGACUCCUUCCUGGAGGCGGCGACAUGAGAGCUGGGCCUGGAGAGGUGACCAGAAUGUUGGCAGGUGGAUGUGGGGGCUUUGAGGACACCCUGCGGCCACCUGUCCAGGAGCCUCGGGGUUCUCCACGUGCGCAGCUGGCCCCGGCGCCUGAGCAGCGCUCUGGAGGCCCCAGACGAGACAUCAUGAGAUGAGGGUGGAAGAUGGUGCCUCAGGGACGGGCCGGUGUUCCAGGUCCAGGCCCUGGGAGGCCCACCUGGCCCUCGCUCAACGGACACACAUCUCCUGAGCUUCUGCAGGCCGUGUUCCGGGUGCAGGACCAGAGCAGGGACCAGGCCCGGCCAGGGCCCCGGCCGCGUGGUGACGGCCAGCUGGGAAGGACCAAGAGCCUGGGGAGAGGCGGUCUCAGCCAUCCGUGGGGACAGGAAGCUCCU